rnacentral:snRNA from 1 species
GGUUAGUCGAUCCUAAGAGUCGG